CCUAUAGUAUUGAAGCAAUGCUGAUGACAGGAGUUGGACUCUUGACACUCGUUAACAUCUGUUGAACAAUACAAAACCUUGAUACCAUAGCUCUGAACUGUUGUCGUCAUUUACCUGAACUGUGCAGUGUUUCGGUUGAGUCAACCAAUGUUCUGGACUCUGCUUGGAGCUCUAGUUACUACACUAUGGAGGCUCAGCAGAUACUGUGGCUCUGGUCUGACUAGUAGCUGAGUACUGAUGAAAAGCUGUCUGGGCACUACUUCUAUUCUAGAAGUCAAAAUGAAUUCCAGCUUCUCAGAAAAAUUAAUCUGUCAUGAAGAUCUCUGGUGAUUAACAGUUCACCGUUAGGGCACUUAAGCUAAGGCACAUGAAAAGUAUCGAUUCAUUACAGAAAUACCUGGACA